GGGCCUGGCCUCUAUCUCCAGUGUUGCACCACAUAUAUGGCUUAGGUACUUGGGGAUGUGCUUUGGCUGAAGAGGUCUCUUCCUGACCUGCCAUGGGGUGCCCUCUGCUCUGGGUUGUCCCACUGUUAGACAGCAGUCCUGCUCGGGUGGCUCCCUCCCAUGCUGAUCUGAGAAAACUUUGCCCAGCAAGGAAGGUGGGGCUGGAAAUGUGGUUGAGCAUCCCUUGGGGGAGAAGCAACAGGUCUGGAACAGAUAUGCAAACCCUACAACAGUACCUGUGCACACUGCCUUGCAGGGAAUGAAGUUAAGCCAUCAAAAUAUUCAGACAAAUAUUGACAACUAGCUGUGCAAACAGAGUGUUUCCUCUGUGAACUCUGAAUGCAGAGGGGAAGAGGAUAAAUGGCAUAAAACUGGCCAACAUCAGAGGACAUUCUACAUCAAGACACAUUCCUGGAUGAGUUGUACUGCCUGAGAAGAGUAAAAAUCUCACUAAAAGAGGAAAGGAUCUAGUGAAACGGUGCAGAGGCAUGAAGGACCAUGCAGGUGCAGCUUCAUGCUGAAACAGUCUACUGAUAUUUUCCUCUCGGUAAAGAUUUCCACUCAGGGCAAUAGGAGUUUUAC